AAGUCGAACGAACGGAGGAAGAGCUUGCUCUUCCAAAGUUAGUGGCGGACGGGGGAGUAACACGUGGGCAACCUGCCUGUAAGUUGGGGAUAACUCCGGGAAACCGGGGCUAAUACCGAAUGAUAAAGUGUGGCGCAUGCCACGCUUUUGAAAGAUGGUUUCGGCUAUCGCUUACAGAUGGGCCCGCGGGGCAUUAGCUAGUUGGUAGGGUAAUGGCCUACCAAGGCAACGAUGCAUAGCCGACCUGAGAGGG
rnacentral:rRNA from 1 species